rnacentral:rRNA from 1 species
AUGCAGGUCGAACGCGAAAGUCCCCUUCGGGGGACUAGUAGAGUGGCGUCCGGGUGAGUAACACGUAGGUAAUCUACCUUCGGGUGGGGAAUAACGCAGGGAAACUUGCGCUAAUACCGCAUAAUGCAGCGGCACCACAUGGUGACAGUUGUUAAAGCGGGGGAUUUUCGAACCUCGCGCCUGAAGAGGAGCCUGCGGCAGAUUAGCUAGUUGGUAAGGUAAUGGCUUACCAAGGCGACGAUCUGUAACCGGCCUGAGAGGGCGGUCGGUCACACUGACACUGACAUACGGGUCAGACUCCUACGGGAGGCAGCAGUCGGGAAUUUUGGGCAAUGGGCGAAAGCCUGACCCAGCAACGCCGCGUGAAGGAUGAAAUCCCUCGGGAUGUAAACUUCGCAAGAAUGGGAAGAAUGAGUAGGGGCUAAUACUCCCUAUGAUGACGGUACCAUUUGUAAGCUCCGGCUAACUCCGUGCCAGCAGCCGCGGUAAUACGGGGGGAGCAAGCGUUGUUCGGAUUUACUGGGCGUAAAGGGCGCGUAGGCGGCCAGCGCAAGUCAGUUGUGAAAUCUCCGGGCUUAACUCGGAACGGUCAACUGAUACUGCGCGGCUAGAGUGCGGAAGGGGCAACUGGAAUUCUCGGUGUAGCGGUGAAAUGCGUAGAUUUCGAGAGGAACACCUGCGGCGAAGGCGGGUUGCUGGGCCGACACUGACGCUGAUGCGCGAAAGCCAGGGGAGCGAACGGGAUUAGAUACCCCGGUAGUCCUGGCCUUAAACGAUGGGAUGCUUGGUGUCUGGAGUUUUAUAGUCUCCGGGUGCCGCAGCUAACGCGUUAAGCAUCCCGCCUGGGGAGUACGGUCGCAAGACUGAAACUCAAAGGAAUUGACGGGGACCCGCACAAGCGGUGGAGC